UACGGAGGGGGCCAGCGUUGUUCGGAUUUAUUGGGCGUAAAGAGCGUGUAGGCGGCCAGGGAGGUCCGCUGUGAAAGUCCGAGGCUCAACCUCGGAAUGUCGGCGGAAACCCUCUGGCUAGAGUCCGGAAGAGGAGAGUGGAAUUCCCGGUGUAGCGGUGAAAUGCGCAGAUAUCGGGAAGAACACCCGUGGCGAAGGCGGCUCGCUGGAACGGUACUGACGCUGAGACGCGAAAGCGUGGGGAGCGAACAGG
rnacentral:rRNA from 1 species